UCUCUCUUCAUUCAUAGCGCCUCUCCGUAACUGAACCCAUGGGGGUGGGCCGUGGGCGGCGGCGCGUGCAAGUGGCAUCGCGUGGGCGGCGGGGACUGCUACGUGCAGUGACGGCGACUGCGGCAGCGGCACACGACCCCUCUCUCUCACCAGCGGGGGCGUGCAUCCCAUCUCCAUGGCCGGCAGCGACGCGCGGCUCUGUCCCUCGCCGGGGCGGGGUUCCCUCCCUAGCUGCUUUGAUGUCCUCGCACAAGGGGGGCGGCGCGUGCGGGUGCUGCGGAGCAGGCAUGAGCGCUCGGCCAGCUCGCACGGCGCCUCCACUGCGAUGCGGUUAGGUGCCGGGAGGAGUAUGUGCGGGGGCCAUCCCAGAUCCCCAAUGUGGAGCGCAGCGUAGUAGCCAGCCGUGGCGGAGAGUGGCCUCAUCACGGCAAGUUGGCCAACUGCUGUGAACCUAUCUGAUGCUGCAACAAAGCUUUAGAAUUUGGUGUCAAGCACAGUAAAAACUGCACAGGAUGCAAAAGCUGUCUUUCAGAUAUUUGGAGAAUCAGGAGAUGGAGAAGUUCAAGCAGUGAGUGGAAAGAGGGAAAAGAAGGAGCGAAGAGUGAUCUGCAGCAGGGUACUGAGUAUUCAUUGUUAGUGUUCAUUGUUCUACUGAGUAUGCAUUGUUUGUGAUACUUGUGAUGUAGCCUAAGAAACCAGCUUGUAUUGUCUCAACUGGAUGUAGCUCGAAGUAUUGUUGAACUGUUGUUUCUGCUUUUAUUUAUAUGAGACUUGUGGUUGCUGGGGCCAUUUUGGGAACUGCUGUAGCUGUUGGGGGCUUAACAUGUGGUCUGUAAACUGUGAUGGCUAUGCUAAAGGAGUACCAAUUGCUUGGCCAACAAA